AUGAAUCUACUAAGUUGGAACUGCCGGGGGGGUGGAGGGACUCGGACAGUACGAGAUCUCGCGACUUUGGUCAAGUCGCAUUCCCCUACUCUCGUCUUUUUGUGUGAGACGAGACAAUCUGCUAGCAAGAUGAAGAGGUAUCGCUCAAGAUUGGGCCUGAAGGGUUUUGAUGGUGUUGAUCCUAUUGGUAAUAGUGGAGGUUUGGCACUAUUUUGGCAUGAGGAUCUGAAAGUGGAUGGUAAAUUCUCAAAUGCCCGCUGUAUGGAUGUUCAUGUACAAGUUGGGUCGGAUGAACAACCAUGGAGACUGACUUGUGUAUAUGGUGAGCCGCGGGUGGAGGAUCGGCCUCUUAUGUGGUCUUUGAUGUAG
rnacentral:rRNA from 1 species